rnacentral:tRNA from 1 species
AGCAAGUAGUUUAUUAAAAAUAUUAGUUUUGGAAAUUAAAGAUAUUUACUUUUUGCUGAU